UACGAAGGGGGCUAGCGUUGUUCGGAUUUACUGGGCGUAAAGCGCACGUAGGCGGUUUGUUAAGUCAGGGGUGAAAUCCCAGAGCUCAACUCUGGAACUGCCUUUGAUACUGGCAAGCUAGAGUCCGGAAGAGGUAAGUGGAACUCCUAGUGUAGAGGUGGAAUUCGUAGAUAUUAGGAAGAACACCAGUGGCGAAGGCGGCUUACUGGUCCGGAACUGACGCUGAGGUGCGAAAGCGCGGGGAGCAAACAGG
rnacentral:rRNA from 1 species